ensembl:processed_transcript
GCGCACCUCCCCCGGAAAGGCCGGGAAGAAAAGACCCACAGCUUUUCCACGCGGUGCUUCAGGAACGGCCGCGCCCCCACGUGCUCUCGGGUGCAAUCCGUAACAGAAGGAAGGAAGGACAGCCUCGCUCUGACUGCACCCUAAACUAUAAAGGGACCUGCGCGGAAAGCUGAGGGUUCUCUUUGCGCUGGACCAUGGCGUCAUCAUUCUUAACAUCAUCAAAGCAGUUGCAAAAAGAUACCAAGAUGAAGGGGUGCCCAAAGCAUCCGAGAGAACUCGUCACAGAAAAUAACUUGAUUAAAACCUGACUCUUUUAAAAGUGGCCAUGCGGACCAGGACGGUGAACACUUCCCUGACCAUGUCUUACUCAGAGCCUUAAGAAGAGUUGGAGGUGGAGCGGAGCUGUGGGGAGGGGCCCAGUGUCUCUCAGAACUUCUCAUCCUCCGGGCUUCCCUAGGAUGCAAUGGGUCAGAGCUCCCAGAUCUCUUAUGCCUCCAAACACAUUGAUUCCCCCCAACUUUUUUACAACGGAUUUCCCAGUUCCUACCAAUCUCAUCUCUCUAAGUAAAUAAGAAGGGGUUUCUACUGAUGGCUUUCCCAUGGCCCGGCUUCAUGCUGCUCCUGUCAGGAUGGAUCAGGAAAGGAGCUGGACCUGAAGAUGAAUCUACCAUACAGUAGGUAGAGGCACGUGACAAGCACGCGCCAAGUCCUAAGCUGAUGCCCGCUAUCAGAAUUAACUGGGUGUGGUGGUGCGUGUUUGUAAUGCCACACUUGAGAGGUCCCAGCAGGAUGGCCAGAACUUCAGCUCAGCUACAGUGCAAGCUGGAGGCCAACCUGUGCUACAUGAGACGCUGUCUAAAUGACAAAACACAUCAAACAGACAAACAAAAGGGCUAAGGUUGGCUAAGGGAGAUCGAGUCAGAAAACCAGCUUGCAUGGAGAAUGCGCUCCUGGAAGCAAGGAUAUCGUUUACAGCCAUAAAAUGAUAAUAACCUGGUAGGAAAACGGGGUGGGAUUUAUAAGUGUCUUCAACAUGCAGAACGAGUAAAACUCACUACACUUCUCAAAAAUGGCAGUGUGGGGACCUUUGAGAGGGGCUCAGUGGGUGAAGGAGUUUGCUAUGGAGCCAAAUGACCUGAGUUCAAGCCCCACCACCCACAAGGUAGAAGGAAAGGAACAACUCCCGCAAGCUGUCUUCUGACCUCCGUGGUGGUACUAUAGCACGCCUUUGCCCCUACCCCACACAAAUAAGAAAACAACAAACAAAUAAACAAAUAAAUAUAAAUAAAACC